GGUGGGGCGGGCCGGACGCGCCGCGGGGGCCCGGGCGCCGCGGGUUCGAGGCCGGGCCCCGCGCGGGGAGGCCGCGUCACCCCGGGGGAGCUGCCCGGCGGCGAGUUUGCCCCGCUGCCGAAAGAAGGCGGGAGCCGACGGGGGCCUUCGAAACCCCCUGGCAACCCGGGCCCGGAGUCCCUAGGGAGCGGCCGCUUCCUGAGACGCCCUCCGGGAACGCCAGUGUCGCAGGGUAGCUGCGGUGAGCCCCCUCAGCAAGAGGGGCCUCCGGGUGACCCCCGUGAGCCGCCCGAGUCGACCCCGGGGCCUCUCGCCCUGGAGGUAGAGGGUUCCCGGAGACUCGCGGCCGAGAGGUCUGAGGGAGCAGGGCCUCUGGGACGCGGGGCAAGGUAGCCCUGGUGUGGAGACGGACUCUGGGACUCUCGGGUUCGGGGGUCUCGGCGACCUGCCCCGCAGGGAGUGCGGCCGCGGAGUGGCCUGCAGGGGACCUUGCCCCAGAGGGGCCGACGCGGAGCGGGGAGAUGAACGGCUUCAGCACGGAGGAGGACAGCCGCGAAGGGCCCCCAGCCUCCGCCGCCAACGCCGCCAACGCCGCCGCCGCCCCGGGCUACGGCCAGAGCUGCUGCCUCAUCGAGGACGGGGAGCGCUGCGUCCGGCCCGCGGGCAACGCCUCCUUCAGCAAGAGGGUGCAGAAGAGCAUCUCGCAGAAGAAACUCAAGCUGGACAUCGACAAGAGCGUAAGGCACCUAUAUAUCUGCGACUUCCACAAAAAUUUCAUCCAGAGUGUCCGAAAUAAAAGGAAGAGGAAGACAAGUGACGAUGGUGGAGAUUCUCCUGAACACGACACUGACAUUCCUGAGGUUGAUCUGUUCCAGCUGCAAGUGAACACCCUACGACGUUAUAAACGACACUACAAGCUGCAGACCAGACCAGGCUUCAAUAAGGCCCAGUUAGCAGAAACUGUCAGCCGACACUUCAGGAAUAUACCUGUGAAUGAAAAAGAGACCCUCGCCUAUUUCAUCUACAUGGUGAAAAGCAACAAGAGCAGACUGGACCAGAAAUCAGAGGGCAGCAAGCAGCUUGAAUGAAGACAAAGCCCAUGAUAUAUAAUGCUUAAUGCACAGGAAAGCUGCCAAGGACCAUAAGACUCCUGCUCAGAAGCUCAGCUGUGGGGUAGAAAGUCUGCUGACCUUGAAUCCCUGGGCUCUCUCUGAUAGCACAUCAUGAAUUUGAGCAACCAAGUGGAGAGAAACAGCAGUGCAUUUCUGUACAAGAAGACGUGGUAUCAGGAUCCACCUGUUGAAGUGUGUCUGUAAGAUGACUUUUGUUCCAAAGUGAGACCUAGGUGAAUUUUCACCUUCAGCUGAAGGCUGUGCAUACUUGAGUCUUCAUGUCAUCUUGAAAAGUGCUUUGGAAAGUGGAAAUUAUAGAUAUCUUUUUCAGCUUUUUAAAAACAGAUCGGUUGAGAUGAAGAGACACCGUUGUUUGAAGUUCACUCAUGUCCAGAUAUCUGUUCUUUCAUCAAACCACUAAACCACUUGCCUUAGCCUCUUCCACAAUUGCUGACAGCUUCAUCUGUGUGUACAACACUUCUGCCUGUGAGCAACAGCAGGCCUUCCGCAACAACAGGCUCUGGUUAGAGGGAGCAGUGGGGCUGGGGAAAGCAAUGUGGGGCAUGGCUACCUGCAUUCUUACACCACCUGUCAGAUGCGUGUGCUUCUCUCCAGGUGUGACUGCAGCAUUGCCUUCUCUCCUCUUGGUGCUCCUGGGCGAAACGAAUGUGACACCCAGAACUGGCAUUGUCUUGUCUAACAGUUACGGUUCCUGCCUCUGUUCCAGCAUGGCAAGGUUCCUUGAUGUGCCCUGAAGGUGGUCACAAGAAAACGUCAGUAUCCUGCCAUUUGUGUUUUUUCAUUUUGUUUUCAAAAAACAAACGGACAAACUUCUUUCAAAGAACAGACUCUUAGGUUGGCCGACAGCAUGUAAUAAUGAUCAUAGCUGAAUCUCAUGAAAGAUUGAAACCAAAGGAUUCAAGACAGUAUUGUAAACUGAAGAAUUUCAUUGAUGUGUUACAGCUGCCAAGUUAUCAGAUGUUCUCUUGCAGCUAAAUAGUCACAGCUAGCCUCUUGAAGAACAGCUAGAAUGUUGAGUUGGCAUUUGGGCUGUUUAUUUUGUGGGAACUUUUUGUUACUAACCUGUUCAACAUCUGCCUGGUAGAAGGGAGAGAAAGUGGGGAUGGAAACUGCUUGUUGAAUAGGUUGUCCUCGGUGUGUGUCCCAGGGGAAUUUGGCCCUGGACAUCACCUGAAAACUCUCAACCAUUUUAAGGAUAAGGCCCAAAAGUUGUGAAAGGACUUUACAUUGCCUAGCCCAGUCUCCCCUUAGGUGCUGACAUGCUGCUUUACAACUAUCCCAGCAAGGGGUUGAGCAGUCUGGACUUAAACACCUCUGAGGACAGAGAACUCACUACCUCCUGGGGAACCUGUUCUAUCCUUGUAAACCUCUGGCUUUUCUGUAUUCUCUGUCACUUCCAUCUGCUGCAUGGUGCCCAUGUGGAACAAGUUUAUUUUGACCAAGUACCUAAUUGCACUAUCCCAGGGCAUAAUGUGUUUGGGAAAGGAGAAGCGAGGACAUAGGCAGUCUUACGUUCUGACUGUCCUUGUCCCCGAGUAUUGGUCUACUUAGUUCCUUGUUGGAGAAUGUGGAAGAAACCCCAUUAGUCUGGCUGUACUCCUUUGUUCCUGUCAAAGUGGUGACAUGGGACAGGAGCAGGGAGGAUGUUAGCACCUUGCUAAAAAAAAAAUCUCUUAAGACAGAUGAGGCUUUAGAUGUGUGCUUGUCCUACAAAAACUAAUACUCACAGCAUCACUUAGGGUAAACUUUACUCAGAACAUUAUAAAAUGUCAUUGCUAUGCGUGAAGUUUGGAGGUCCCAUGGUUGCCAGCAGUGUGUACCUUGUGAUUCCUUUAACAACCUCACACAAUUUUCACUGAAAAAGCAAAGGUGAAAAACUUGAGAGUGGAAAGUCAUGUCUCAGCAUCAGAGAAGUGCCAUAAUGAAAGUCCUUUUUAAGUUACAAUUGUCCAAUCCAUUUUUAAGGAUAAAAAAACAAAAUUCAGGAUUUGCUUGAGGUGAUGUGGCAUUAUCAAACUAUUUUCUAGUCCUCUUUAACUGUCCAGCAUUCAGAUCACCUUCUGACUUAAAGAAUGCAUCUAAUUCAGUCAAAAAUAAGCUGCCCUCAGAUUCUAGAGAAUUUGUAACAGAGCAGGCCACCCUGGUUCUCAGGGACAAUGAACCACCCUUCAGAAUUUAGGGUUGAAUUCCAAAUGGUUGGACUAGACAAGCUUUUGUAAAACCAGUAAUAAAGGGAAAACAGAUCUGUUAAUUCAGACCAAGGUUCACAAGCUUUCAUAGGAGAUAUCUUGUCCUAGAAUCAGUUCUCGUGAAAUGGGCUUGGUGCUGAGGGGUCCAUUUUCCACUUCCAAGCAGUCCUUUGAGAGUAUGCAGUUCAGCUGACUCUGGCCCCUGGCCCUCCUGCUGAGCGCUGCAGUUGAAAAACAGGUGAACUGAAGGUCUUGCCCUAGGGAAGUAGUGUGCCAUUUACUCCUUUCAUUAUUACAGACUGUUCCCACAAUUAUAAUUAGGAAGGGUCAAGUUGAUUGUAGUUUGAAGUAGAAUCCAGCCUGAGGCAAGGUGGGACCUCUUGAGGCAAAAAAAGAAAGUCUAUACUCAGUUGUUGCAUCAAGCUUAUAUCUUGACACACCUACUCUUCAGUUGCUUUCAUCUACUGAAUACAUUUACCAGCGACACAGGGGUGAACAGGAUUCCUGUUUAGCAUCGCUGUUGUCCUGUGCUCAUCAGAGUAUUUUGGGGUAUGGGUCUUUUCCUUUCUCCAUUUUGUAAAUGCCUUAUUGAAAAGUAAGUGCCCUUCCAUUCCAGGCCUCCUCAUAUUGUACUUGUUUCCUGCCAAAAUUCGGGAGAUUGUUUGUGUUUUAAUUUUAUAAUCUAUGGCUCUGUACUGUUUGAAAGACUCUCAAUUCUAUGAGGUCUCUUUGUAUGUAUGUGACUUUCAUGCUGCAGUAUCGCACAGAUGAGAUGGCUCUUAAUAAAUGAUCUGAAUGAGUAAGAGA